AGCGAGUGUCAAACGUGAUAAUAAAGAGUGAUGUAGUGUGGAUGUGUGCGUCCGUCAAUCUUUCCUACCUACGCCUUUCCGUGAGGCGGCUGCAGCAGGAAAUCGCCGAGCCGUGCUGCAGAGAGGAAAGGAUGGCAGGUUGUGCCGCGGUGAACACUCGCAACAUGUGCAGGAGGAAAGAAAGGAUGGCAGGUUGUGCCGCGGUGAACACUUGCAACAUGUGCAGGAGGAAAGUGAGUACCUGCUUCAUUACAUCAUUUGCCCUCUAUUUUAGAACUCG